rnacentral:rRNA from 1 species
UACGAAGGGGCUAGCGUUGCUCGGAAUUACUGGGCGUAAAGGGAGCGUAGGCGGAUAGUUAAGUCAGAGGUGAAAGCCCAGGGCUCAACCUUGGAAUUGCCUUUGAUACUGGCUAUCUUGAGUAUGGGAGAGGUAAGCGGAACUCCGAGUGUAGAGGUGAAAUUCGUAGAUAUUCGGAAGAACACCAGUGGCGAAGGCGGCUUACUGGCCCAUUACUGACGCUGAGGCUCGAAAGCGUGGGGAGCAA